rnacentral:lncRNA from 1 species
CUGGACUUGAACUCUGGGCUCAAGCGAGCCUCCUGCUUCAACCUCCUGAGUAGCUGGGACUACAGGCAUGUGCCACUGCACCCAGCUCUUGUAUGGAAUUUUUAUAUGGAAUGUGUAAUACAUAAACUAUUCAAAUCACUGAAUGCUUGUGAGGUAUCCAUUGCACCUGGAAAUUAAACCAGGCUAUCUCUUCAUAUAAAAGUGGAGAAAGCACUAAACAGGCUAAAGAAAAUUACCUCUUUACCCUUGCCUCCUGUUUUCUGUUAGUCUUAUAUGAAGCUUUUAAGGGAUAGUCAACUGCACAAAAGCAACAUCUGCUUGGCAGAUUUCCUUUAGUCCUGGAGCCCACCAUUCCGUUCUAUCUCACUGAACAUGUUUAUUGGAAAGUACGAGCAGAUUCCAGUGGAAGCACAGAUGCAUUUAUUUAACUCGCUGCUUGUUUCUUUGGAACUGCUCUUUUAAAAUGGAGGCAAGAGUUUUGGGGCUGGUUACAAUGAGUGGCAAUGUCCACUUGUGGGAAAUAUUGAAUGAUGGAUAAUGUAACAGCUGCAAUGAGCAUUUGGCAGAAUGGAAAAUGUUCUAGAUUUAGCUCCCUUGCAUGCAUGUCCAGGGAAUGAUUAGCAGGUUGGCACGAUAAGGUCAGUGUCAUUUAUCAGCCAAAACACUCUCCAAGGUCAGAAAGUUAACUUUUGAUUGUCUGUUGUGUUUUUAAAGAUCUGCUGGCACAGGUCUUUGGGUUUUCCUUUUGAAGGUCAUUUUCUGAAUUAAUGGGUUUCUAACUGUGUCUAUGGCUAGGAAAAUGGAUUUCAGGGAAAAUCAAGAAGAUUGUAUUUUUUAAAAAGACAUUUAUUGAUUAGGAAUAUAUAUAAAUUGUUAAGAUACCUUUCUUUUCCCAUAUUGGUAGCAACUAUCAGGUUGCACAUAUAUAAUUGCCAAUAGUUGACAGUUUUUACCUUAAAGAAGGCAAUUUUGUAUGGUCCAACUGAAUAUAUACUAUAUUUCAAUUCAAUCUAAUACUUUAACAAAUAUUAAGUUCCUGCUGAGGUACUAUGUUAAGUGUUGAAGCUACAAGGAUGAACAAAAUAGUCAUGGGUCUUGUCUUCACAAAGCUUACAGUCUAGAAGUGGUGGCAGACAAACCACUGCUUUGAUAGCGGAAGGACAGUUACUGUGUGAAUUCAGAGCGAGGGAAGCUAAUCCAUUUUAGAGUGGUCAAAAGAAUCUUCCCAGAGGAAUGAAAGCUAAGCUGAGCUUGAAGGAUGAGGAAGAGUUAAAUGGAAGAGUAGAACAGGGGCGAAGAGGCUUCUGGCAAUAGGAACAGCAGUGUGAAGACAGGGAGGUAAGAGCAAUAGAGCAGGGGUGUGUGACAUGACGGGAGCUGAGCGACACUCAGAGUGGAGGGAGGCUGUGUAGACAGAUGAUGCUGGGAGGGAAGAAAGGCCCCAUGGUGAAGAGAAGAAUCUGGUAAUUCUGUAAUAAAAUACUUACCUCUCUAUUCUGAAGGCAUCAAGGAACUACUGGACAAGGAGUGACGUGAUCGUGACGGUGUUGUAUAAAAAGGGCCAUGUGGUUGCUGUGUGGAGCAUAGGUUGGAAUCUGGGAAGUCACCUAGGAGGCUGUUCCUGGAAUCCAGGCAAUAAAAGAUGGUGGCCUGUACUGGGGCAGUGAGCAUGGGGAUGAAACAUGGAAGACUCUGUGAGCUGCUUGGGAGGCAAAUUGAUGGGUCUUGGUGAUUCCACGGUCGGUGGGGAGGGGGCAGGAAUGGGUGACAGAGAGAUGGGAAGGAAGAUUGCUCUCUGAAUGUAGAACUGCUUCUGGGUCACUGGAAUUUUCAGUGGCCACAGUGGUUUGACUUCUUAAAUGACUCAGUGGACUCCAGUAUCACAACUUGCCACCAGGUGCUGCUCUCUAACAUCUGAAUUCUAGCUUUAAAACUCUCUAGGAGGUUUUGGGCUAUGUAAUAAUUAUUAGAUUUUAGCUUUAACAAUUCCAAAAUGUGUGCAUGGAAUUUAUUUAACAUGGAGGAAUACCAGCAGAGUUUUGUUACUUAAAAUCUGAUGAUAAAAGUUUCAUUUUAUAGUUCAAUCCUAUGGACAUUGUAAGACUUUGGUCUUUAACUCAGUUCCGUGUUCCGCUUAGAGAUGGUGUGGAUUUGAAUCCAGUAAAGCUAGAAAAGGGGUGAAACUGGUUCAUUAUUAGAAGACUGAUUCUUUUUUUUUUUUUGAGUUUUUACACAGCCUCUUUUGUAUUCAAUGUUGUUUAUUGAGGAGUGAAUGAGAGACUACUGCCAGACAUGCCAAUGACACUUCACAUUCAAGAGCUGGAAGCUGGAAAGCUUCCCGACUAAGUCACUGUAUAAGCCUUCUGGGAAAAAGAACCAAAGUGCCAUCAAAUAUGCCAUCUUCAUGCUUGUUGUCUGUCAUCAGUUUGUUUCAACUUUUGGGUCCACUGGUUUGCUGGGUAGUAGGAGAAGACUGAUUCUUCAAAAAAAAAAAGGGCCUGGAUUUUCAUUUGACAGACAUCAGCUCAAUUAGAUCAGUGCUUUCAAGAUGGCUCUUUC